ACAUGUGGAUAAGAGUUGUUUCCAGAUAGAAGAAUGAAGAGGGGAAUACAGCUGAGGCUGUGACACAAUCUUGAUGUGAAAUGACUCCAAAAGGAGGUAUUGCUUAAAGCUUGAGUCUUAGAAGGUGCUGAGGGCUACCCAGGCAGAUGGGUGAGGAAUAGGGUUCUGGACAUAGGGGACAGUCCAAAUGAGCCCGGCUGUUUAGAGACCCUGAUAGGGCUUGGAGAGAAAGUAGACUUUGGAUAGGUGGCUGAUAGGCAGGCAGAGGCUGGACCCUGAGAUUGGUGUGCCACAUAAGGAGUUCACACUUCAGUCUAAAACCACGCCCUCUCUCCAUCCAUCAGCAUUGACGUGGACCUGUGAUGGAUUCAGAGACUGUUAACUUGGCCACACUCAACUGCAUUUCCUGGAACUAUCUUUCCUGCAUGUUUGCAGUUAAGAUGGACCACAAGGAAUAUUCUUGGAAGAUUCUUGCAAGAUACAGAAGGCAAGAGAGGCUGCAGCUGUGUUUUGCAGUUGGCACACAUUGCUGCUGAUCUGCUGACUCACCUCACUGGAGUGAAACAGCUGCCACAACACCCGCAACCUUCUCCCGUAUCUUCUUGCUGCUUUUUGACUUCCGGCCGUGUGUAUGUGUUCAGCUCUGUGAUGAAGGGCUAGGCUUCUGCAGGACAGCCUCAUCACUGUGGUUAGAGGCAAUAAGAACAGCCAUGGGCUUCAGGCUGCAAUCCUGGGACUCUGGCUUGUGCUCGUGGGUUCCCGCCCUCCCUACUUAACAUCUGUCUUUCCUCUCGACUGCCUAUCCUGUGGACCUAACACCAGCAUCAGACUUGAGACGCAGCCUUGCAAAGACUGUUUACCUGGUUCCCACAAAUGCACAAAGAAGCCAUUUCAGAGAGCUCGGGUGACCUGAGGUCAUGGAGAGGCAGAGUCAAGAUGGAACUCAGGAACCAGAGGGAGCUUUUAUAAAGAAGGUGGAGGCUGGCGUGGAUGAAGUUACAUCAGAUGGUCUGACUGGACGUGACUACAGCAAAGUUUCCAACUCUGUAUCUUCCUAAAUCUACCCAGCUCUCCGACCUCAACCUUCUGUACUGUCUCACCUUAUUCCUUGGCCAGUGAGAGCAGUAGCUGGGACAUGAGUGAGUUCCAGGCACGGUGGGCAUGGUUUGUUCUGAGCUCCCCCAGCCCAGCCCACCCCUCUUUGGAGAGCUCCUUCUCUUCUGGCGUUUCUCUGACUCCUUUGGGGCGGAGAUUGACAAGGAUCUCCACCUACAAAUCCUCUAUUCUGUGAAAGUCACACACCGCUUUGGAGACCAAAACAACCAACUUCACCUAGAUUUGCAGGGUCCUUGAUGUCGACCAAGGGCCUUUGAGGAAAGACUUCUCAGUGAGGGGAUACGUGUCUCCCUUCAGUAGAAACAGCUAGAGUUUCCAACUGGAUUCCAGACGGCUUUGGGGAAAUUCACGGCUACCAUUUUCAAGUGGCUUCAGCAGCACCCGGCAUGGAGGGUGCUCAGUAGCUAUUCUUGUAAACCAGAUAAUAAUACGAAUAACAAGGUAAACACUAGUGGUUCUUUCUUGGGCCCUUGUGAGGUGCCAGUGUCUGUGCUAAGCAUUUUGCAUGCUAAACACUUUACCUGUAAUGGCAGGACACAGUCCUACCCUCUGAUGGUGAUGACCAGAUGUGUUUGGACCAUGGGCACAGGAGACAGACACGGGUGGACAUUUGCACAGCCCUCUGGAAGCUCACAUCGAGUUAGAAAGACAAGAUGUCGAAAACUGCACUGCUGAUAAGGGUUAAACAGCCGUUUGAUACAACAAUAGAAGAGAUAUUCAAGGCAGGGCAUGAUUAAUUGCCUGGCAAAUCGUAGGGAUGAUAAAUGUUUUAGGAACUCAGAGAAGGAAGCCAUUUCUCCAAGCAGGGCAGAACAGACAGACACCGGGGGAUAACUGUGCCUUUUCAAAGGGGGGCCAUGAGGCUGCUCUCUGAGGAGGUCAUUGUCACACAGUGGGGGUUGGAAGGGUGCCCUUUGACCUUUUUUACUUUUCAAGGACUAGGUCAGUAUUCGGUCGCCCACUUGCCACAAUCUAGCUACGCUGGAGUCUUUAGGAAAUCAGCUAGUUCAGGGAAUUGGAGAAAAAGCGAGAGCAUGCUUUUUAUUCCCUUUCCCACCAUUUCAACCUCUCCAGGACAAGCCGUCCAUCUGUAGUCUCCCCUCUAGAAAGUGGUACUGGAAUUUGGUGUUCACAUUAUGUGAGAAAAGGUUGAAGGUGCUGGCUUGGAGCCCCCAAAGCAUGUAGGGCAUCUCCCCCUUGGCAAGUGGGUCCCACAUAAUUUUACAAAAACAUAUCAUUUUCAUGGUAGUGGUAAGACUGAUAAGUGUUCGGAUUUUGCCCAAAAUUUCAAGAGGCUAGAGCUGAGAAGUUCCUUUGAAGCUCUCAGAGCCCUGAAUUGUGUUCCGUUUGGGUAUCUAUUAAGAAAACAGCCAUUUCAUCACGGCUCGUAACAUAAAUUGGUUCAUGGAUGCCCAAGGCUUUAUCUCAUUAAAUCCU